rnacentral:rRNA from 1 species
AACGGGUGAGUAAUACAUCGGAACGUGCCCUGUAGUGGGGGAUAACUAGUCGAAAGAUUAGCUAAUACCGCAUACGACCUGAGGGUGAAAGUGGGGGACCGCAAGGCCUCAUGCUAUAGGAGCGGCCGAUGUCUGAUUAGCUAGUUGGUGGGGUAAAGGCCCACCAAGGCGACGAUCAGUAGCUGGUCUGAGAGGACGAUCAGCCACACUGGGACUGAGACACGGCCCAGACUCCUACGGGAGGCAGCAGUGGGGAAUUUUGGACAAUGGGCGAAAGCCUGAUCCAGCAAUGCCGCGUGUGUGAAGAAGGCCUUCGGGUUGUAAAGCACUUUUGUCCGGAAAGAAAUGGCUCUGGUUAAUACCUGGGGUCGAUGACGGUACCGGAAGAAUAAGGACCGGCUAACUACGUGCCAGCAGCCGCGGUAAUACGUAGGGUCCAAGCGUUAAUCGGAAUUACUGGGCGUAAAGCGUGCGCAGGCGGUUGUGCAAGACCGAUGUGAAAUCCCCGAGCUUAACUUGGGAAUUGCAUUGGUGACUGCACGGCUAGAGUGUGUCAGAGGGGGGUAGAAUUCCACGUGUAGCAGUGAAAAUGCGUAGAGAUG